UGAUCGACGGUGAUGAGCAGCGGCGGUUGACGCAGUGCAUGGAUCUCACUCGUGAGUUGCGCGAGCUGGGGCGGGGAUUCGUAGUUGCGCGCAAACAAAAUGACGCCGCCCACCCGCGGGUGCGCGAGCCGAUCCGCAUCCUCCGGCGUAAGCUCUGGUCCGCCGAUAUCAAGCAUCACAGGACCCAGCGCGAUUUGCCGUGCCUGGCUCACUUCUCGAGCACCACGCAUGCGCACGCCAUACUUUUCUCGUCAGUGAUCGUCACGUAGUGGCCCGUAAUGCCUUCGGCGGCGAUGAGUUGGGCAAGGUUAGUAUGAAACUCAAAGCCCGGCUUGCCGCGGCGAUCCGGCACGAUGUUUAUGCAUUGCAGCGUCA
rnacentral:misc_RNA from 1 species